CAGGCAUACACGAACAAGCUGGAGAACAAGGUUUCAUGUCUGGAAGAAGAGAAUGAAAGGCUCAAGAAGCAGAAGGUUUUGGAUGCUUCUUGUACAUGCCUGACUAGCAACGAAAUCCACUUCAAGAAUAUCAGGUGAUGACUUUUGUUUGCUUUUUCUUUCUAAACUUUUUCAUACUUGGUGUGUUUUUCUUACUGGUUUUCUUUUACAAGGCCAAUUUUUGUUUCCUUUGUUGCUUAUGAUUUGCAAUACCUGCCAGCAAGCAAUUGAGUAGGGGUUGUAUUGUGGUGCUUGUAAGCCUUGUAGCACCAUAUAGUUUGAUUCAAUGAUAAUUUAUUAAUGUGAUUGAAGUUCCAAUUGAAGGCAAAUCAUUAAGAAAAAAGGAAAUGAAAAAAGAAAGAAAAGAGAAGAAAAGUUCCAAUUGAUACAA